GACGAACGCUGGCGGCGCGCUUAACACAUGCGAGUCGAGCGAUAACCAUGGCUUCGGCCAUGGGGAGAGCGGCGAACGGGUGAGUAACACGUGAGCGAUCUGCCCUCGACACUGGGAUAGCCCGGGGAAACCCGGAUUAAUACCGGAUAGCCUCACGGGUCUACGGGCUCGUGAGAAAAGAUGGCUUCGGCUUUCGGUCGAGGAGGAGCUGGCGGCGGAUUAGCUUGUUGGUGAGGUAACGGCUCACCAAGGCGACGAUCCGUAGCUGGUCUGAGAGGACGAUCAGCCACACUGGGACUGAGACACGGCCCAGACUCCUACGGGAGGCAGCAGUGGGGAAUCUUGCGCAAUGGGCGAAAGCCUGACGCAGCGACGCCGCGUGAGGGAAGAAGGCCUUCGGGUUGUAAACCUCUUUCAGGAGGGACGAAGCCACUCGGGUUAAUAGCCCAGAGGGUGACGGUACCUCCAGAAGAAGCCCUGCUAACUACGUGCCAGCCGCCGCCGUAA
rnacentral:rRNA from 1 species